rnacentral:rRNA from 1 species
GGCCUAACACAUGCAAGUCGAGCGGUAACAGAUCCAGCUUGCUGGAUGCUGACGAGCGGCGGACGGGUGAGUAAUGCAUAGGAAUCUGCCCGAUAGUGGGGGAUAACCUGGGGAAACCCAGGCUAAUACCGCAUACGUCCUACGGGAGAAAGGGGGCUCCGGCUCCCGCUAUGGGAUGAGCCUAUGUCGGAUUAGCUAGUUGGUGAGGUAACGGCUCACCAAGGCCACGAUCCGUAGCUGGUCUGAGAGGAUGAUCAGCCACAUCGGGACUGAGACACGGCCCGAACUCCUACGGGAGGCAGCAGUGGGGAAUAUUGGACAAUGGGGGAAACCCUGAUCCAGCCAUGCCGCGUGUGUGAAGAAGGCCCUCGGGUUGUAAAGCACUUUCAGCGAGGAAGAACGCCUAGCGGUUAAUACCCGCUAGGAAAGACAUCACUCGCAGAAGAAGCACCGGCUAACUCCGUGCCAGCAGCCGCGGUAAUACGGAGGGUGCAAGCGUUAAUCGGAAUUACUGGGCGUAAAGCGCGCGUAGGUGGCUUGAUAAGCCGGUUGUGAAAGCCCCGGGCUCAACCUGGGAACGGCAUCCGGAACUGUCAAGCUAGAGUGCAGGAGAGGAAGGUAGAAUUCCCGGUGUAGCGGUGAAAUGCGUAGAGAUCGGGAGGAAUACCAGUGGCGAAGGCGGCCUUCUGGACUGACACUGACACUGAGGUGCGAAAGCGUGGGUAGCAAACAGGAUUAGAUACCCUGGUAGUCCACGCCGUAAACGAUGUCGACCAGCCGUUGGGUGCCUAGCGCACUUUGUGGCGAAGUUAACGCGAUAAGUCGACCGCCUGGGGAGUACGGCCGCAAGGUUAAAACUCA